rnacentral:rRNA from 1 species
UACGGAGGGGGCUAGCGUUGUUCGGAAUUACUGGGCGUAAAGCGCACGUAGGCGGCUUUGUAAGUUAGAGGUGAAAGCCCGGGGCUCAACUCCGGAAUUGCCUUUAAGACUGCAGAGCUUGAAUCACGGAGAGGUGAGUGGAAUUCCGAGUGUAGAGGUGAAAUUCGUAGAUAUUCGGAAGAACACCAGUGGCGAAGGCGGCUCACUGGACGUGUAUUGACGCUGAGGUACGAAAGCGUGGGGAGCAAACAGG